UACGGAGGGGGCUAGCGUUGUCCGAAGUUACUGGGCGUAAAGCGCGCGUAGGCGGGUUGGUAAGUCCGCUGUGAAAGCCCGGGGCUCAACUCCGGAGGGUCGGUGGAUACUGCCAGUCUUGAAGGUGCUAGGGGGAGAUGGAAUUACCGGUGUAGCGGUGAAAUGCGUAGAUAUCGGUAGGAACACCAGUGGCGAAGGCGGUCUCCUGGGGCAUUCUUGACGCUGAGGCGCGAAAGCUGGGGGGAGCGAACGGG
rnacentral:rRNA from 1 species